GACGGAGGAUGCAAGUGUUAUCCGGAAUCACUGGGCGUAAAGCGUCUGUAGGUGGUUUAAUAAGUCAACUGUUAAAUCUUGAGGCUCAACUUCAAAAUCGCAGUCGAAACUAUUAGACUAGAGUAUAGUAGGGGUAAAGGGAAUUUCCAGUGGAGCGGUGAAAUGCGUAGAGAUUGGAAAGACCACCAAUGGCGAAGGCACUCUACUGGGCCAUUACUGACACUGAGAGACGAAAGCUAGGGGAGCAAAUGGG
rnacentral:rRNA from 1 species